rnacentral:tRNA from 1 species
UGGGGACUCGUCUAAUGGCAGGACGGCUGUCUCUGGAACAGUCGGUAGUGGUUCGAAUCCAUUGUCCCCAGCCA